AUUGAACGCUGGUGGCAUGCCUUACACAUGCAAGUCGAACGGCAGCACGGAGCUUGCUCUGGUGGCGAGUGGCGAACGGGUGAGUAAUAUAUCGGAACGUACCCAAGAGUGGGGGAUAACGUAGCGAAAGUUACGCUAAUACCGCAUACGAUCUAAGGAUGAAAGUGGGGGCUCGCAAGACCUCAUGCUCCUGGAGCGGCCGAUAUCUGAUUAGCUAGUUGGUGAGGUAAAGGCUCACCAAGGCAUCGAUCAGUAGCUGGUCUGAGAGGACGACCAGCCACACUGGAACUGAGACACGGUCCAGACUCCUACGGGAGGCAGCAGUGGGGAAUUUUGGACAAUGGGGGCAACCCUGAUCCAGCAAUGCCGCGUGAGUGAAGAAGGCCUUCGGGUUGUAAAGCUCUUUUGUCAGGGAAGAAACGGUGAAGGCUAAUAUCCUUUGCUAAUGACGGUACCUGGAGAAUAAGCACCGGCUAACUACGUGCCAGCCGCCGCCGUAAUAC
rnacentral:rRNA from 1 species